ensembl:rRNA 5S_rRNA 5S ribosomal RNA
GCUUACGGCCACACCGCCUGGUUCCACGUCCGAUCUCGUUUGAUCUCGGAAGCUAAAAUAGGUUGGGCCUGGUUAGUACUUGCAUGGGAGACUGCCUGGGAAUACCAGGUGCUGUAAGCU